rnacentral:rRNA from 1 species
UACAGAGACUGCAAGCGUUAUUCGGAUUCACUGGGCGUAAAGGGCGCGUAGGCGGUCAGCACAAGUCAGUUGUGAAAUCUCCGGGACUUAACCCGGAAAGGUCAACUUGAUACUGGUGCGACGUAAGAGUGCGGAAGGGGCAAGCUGGAAAUUCUCGGUGUAGCGGUAGGAAUGCGUAGAGAUCCGGAGGAACACCAGCGGCGAAGGCGGCAUCCUGGACUGGUCCUGACACUCAGGAGCGGAAAAG